UUUCCGUAGGUGAACCUGCGGAAGGAUCAUUAGCGAAUUGAAUAUGUUAGCGGACCUCAUCGGAGUCCCUAGCAUCAAAUCAUAUCCAUAACUCCUGUGAACUGUGAGUCUGUCUUGAAGACGAAAGUGAUUGGAGCGCCUGCCCAAUUUAUACAAACAUUAAACUAACAAACGUAGUCUUAUUAUAAUGUAAUAAAACUUUCAACAACGGAUCUCUUGGCUCUG
rnacentral:misc_RNA from 1 species